rnacentral:rRNA from 1 species
UCCCAGACUCCUACGGGAGGCAGCAGUGGGGAAUAUUGGGCAAUGGGCGCAAGCCUGACCCAGCGACGCCGCGUGAGGGAAGACGGUCUUCGGAUUGUAAACCUCUUUCAGCAGGGAAGACAAAAGGACGGUACCUGCAGAAGAAGCCACGGCUAACUACGUGCCAGCAGCCGCGGUAAUACGUAGGGAGCGAGCGUUGUCCGGAAUUACUGGGUGUAAAGGGAGCGUAGGCGGGCGAGAAAGUUGAAUGUUAAAUCUACCGGCUUAACUGGUAGCUGCGUGCAAAACUUCUUGUCUUGAGUGAAGUAGAGGCAGGCGGAAUUCCUAGUGUAGCGGUGAAAUGCGUAGAUAUUAGGAGGAACACCAGUGGCGAAGGCGGUCUGCUGGACAGCAACUGACGGUGAGGCGCGAAAGCGUGGGGAGCAAACAGGAUUAGAUACCCUAGUAC